rnacentral:rRNA from 1 species
UACAACUUUCAGCGGUGGAUGUCUAGGUUCCCACAACGAUGAAGAACGCAGCGAAAUGCGAUACGUAAUGCGAAUUGCAAGACCUCGUGAAUCAUCAAAAUUUUGAACGCACAUUGCGCUUUCGGGUUUUACCCGGUAGCAUGCUUGUCUGAGU